rnacentral:rRNA from 1 species
UACAGAGGUCUCAAGCGUUGUUCGGAUUCAUUGGGCGUAAAGGGUGCGUAGGUGGUGGGGUAAGUCGGAUGUGAAAUCCCGGGGCUCAACCCCGGAACUGCAUUCGAUACUGCCUUGCUCGAGUACUGGAGAGGAGACUGGAAUUUACGGUGUAGCAGUGAAAUGCGUAGAUAUCGUAAGGAAGACCAGUGGCGAAGGCGGCGAUCUGGGAAGAUACUGACGCUGAGGUGCGAAAGCGUGGGGGAGCAAACAGG